GACGAACGCUGGCGGCGUGCCUAAUACAUGCAAGUAGAACGCACAGUUUAUACCGUAGCUUGCUACACCAUAGAUUGUGAGUUGCGAACGGGUGAGUAACGCGUAGGUAACCUGCCUGGUAGCGGGGGAUAACUAUUGGAAACGAUAGCUAAUACCGCAUAAUAUUAAUUAUUGCAUGAUAAUUAAUUGAAAGGUGCAAUUGCACCACUACCAGAUGGACCUGCGUUGUAUUAGCUAGUAGGUGAGGUAACGGCUCACCUAGGCGACGAUACAUAGCCGACCUGAGAGGGUGAUCGGCCACACUGGGACUGAGACACGGCCCAGACUCCUACGGGAGGCAGCAGUAGGGAAUCUUCGGCAAUGGACGAAAGUCUGACCGAGCAACGCCGCGUGAGUGUAGAAGGUUUUCGGAUCGUAAAGCUCUGUUGUAAGGGAAGAACGGGUGUGAGAGUGGAAAGUUCACACUGUGACGGUAUCUUACCAGAAAGGGACGGCUAACUACGUG
rnacentral:rRNA from 1 species